ACUGUAAAUAUCCCACAGGAACAUGGUUACCCUUCGACUUUGUUCCCAACACAGCCACAGGUGAAAAGAAGUUAGUACCCACGUAAAUCCUGGAUAAAUAACCUCAAUCCCCAGUAGAU